AUGGCGGCGAGCGCAGCGGGCUGGUCCUCGGCGGUGACGGAGGGGAGGGCCGGGGCCUCGCCCCAGCCGACGGCGCCACUGGAGAGCUCGACCCGCACGGCGACGUUGGCGACGUCCUCGAGGCGCGAGGAGGCGAUGUUCAAGGGUGUGGCGAGCGGCACGUUGAGCGGGCGCGCCUCAGCCGCUGCCACGUCCACCGAGAAGGUCUCCUUGAGCGCGUCGAAGCCGAACCCUCCAUCGGCUGCUGCAGCGUCGGGAGAGACGGCGACGGCGACGGCGACAACGAGAUGGUGCGGAGGCGGCUGGCGCGCCGCCGCGAGUGGAGUGGGUCUGCGAGAGAGAAAGAAAGAAGAAGCGGGUUGGAACGGGGCGGCCGCAUCUGGGACCUCUCUUCCUUCUAGUCGAAGGAAACCUGGGGCCUGGGGGCAGCGACGAACGUGUUAG
rnacentral:rRNA from 1 species